rnacentral:rRNA from 1 species
UGGGGAAUUUUGGACAAUGGGGGAAACCCUGAUCCAGCCAUCCCGCGUGUGCGAUGAAGGCCUUCGGGUUGUAAAGCACUUUUGGCAGGAAAGAAACGUCGCGGGUUAAUACCCCGCGGAACUGACGGUACCUGCAGAAUAAGCACCGGCUAACUACGUGCCAGCAGCCGCGGUAAUACGUAGGGUGCAAGCGUUAAUCGGAAUUACUGGGCGUAAAGCGUGCGCAGGCGGUUCGGAAAGAAAGAUGUGAAAUCCCAGAGCUUAACUUUGGAACUGCAUUUUUAACUACCGGGCUAGAGUGUGUCAGAGGGAGGUGGAAUUCCGCGUGUAGCAGUGAAAUGCGUAGAUAUGCGGAGGAACACCGAUGGCGAAGGCAGCCUCCUGGGAUAACACUGACGCUCAUGCACGAAAGCGUGGGGAGCAAACAGGAUUAGAUACCCUGGUAGUCCACGCCCUAAACGAUGUCAACUAGCUAUUGGGGUCUUCGGACCUUGGUAGCGCAGCUAACGCGUGAAGUUGACCGCCUGGGGAGUACGGUCGCAAGAUUAAAACUCAAAUGAAUUGAC